rnacentral:rRNA from 1 species
GACGAACCGUGCGAACGUUGUUCGGAAUUACUGGGCGUAAAGCGCACGUAGGCGGAUUUGUAAGUCAGGGGUGAAAUCCCGGGGCUCAACCUCGGAACUGCCUUUGAUACUGCAAAUCUCGAGUCCGAUAGAGGUGGGUGGAAUUCCUAGUGUAGAGGUGAAAUUCGUAGAUAUUAGGAAGAACACGGUGGCGAAGGCGGCCCACUGGAUCGGUACUGACGCUGAGGUGCGAAAGCGUGGGGAGCAAACAGG